rnacentral:rRNA from 1 species
GUAACAGGAAAACAGCUUGCUGCUUCGCUGACGAGUGGCGGACGGGUGAGUAAUGUCUGGGAAACUGCCUGAUGGAGGGGGAUAACUACUGGAAACGGUAGCUAAUACCGCAUAACGUCGCAAGACCAAAGAGGGGGACCUUCGGGCCUCUUGCCAUCGGAUGUGCCCAGAUGGGAUUAGCUAGUAGGUGGGGUAACGGCUCACCUAGGCGACGAUCCCUAGCUGGUCUGAGAGGAUGACCAGCCACACUGGAACUGAGACACGGUCCAGACUCCUACGGGAGGCAGCAGUGGGGAAUAUUGCACAAUGGGCGCAAGCCUGAUGCAGCCAUGCCGCGUGUAUGAAGAAGGCCUUCGGGUUGUAAAGUACUUUCAGCGGGGAGGAAGGGAGUAAAGUUAAUACCUUUGCUCAUUGACGUUACCCGCAGAAGAAGCACCGGCUAACUCCGUGCCAGCAGCCGCGGUAAUACGGAGGGUGCAAGCGUUAAUCGGAAUUACUGGGCGUAAAGCGCACGCAGGCGGUUUGUUAAGUCAGAUGUGAAAUCCCCGGGCUCAACCUGGGAACUGCAUCUGAUACUGGCAAGCUUGAGUCUCGUAGAGGGGGGUAGAAUUCCAUGUG